UACGUAGGUGCCAAGCGUUGUCCGGAUUUAUUGGGCGUAAAGAGCUCGUAGGCGGCUCGUUGCGUCGGCUGUGAAAACCCGCGGCUCAACUGUGGGCUUGCAGCCGAUACGGGCGGGCUGGAGUUCGGUAGGGGAGACUGGAAUUCCUGGUGUAGCGGUGAAAUGCGCAGAUAUCAGGAGGAACACCGGUGGCGAAGGCGGGUCUCUGGGCCGAUACUGACGCUGAGGAGCGAAAGCGUGGGGAGCGAACAGG
rnacentral:rRNA from 1 species